ACGCUCGACACCUACGGGAGGCAGCAGUAGGGAAUUUUCGGCAAUGGGGGGGAACCCUGACCGAGCAACGCCGCGUGAAGGAAGAAGGAAUUCGUUCUGUAAACUUCUGUUAUAAAGGAAGAACGGCGGAUAUAGGGAAUGAUAUCCGAGUGACGGUACUUUAUGAGAAAGCCACGGCUAACUACGUGCUAGCAGCCGCGGUAAUCUGAGCGGGCUGGCAAGGC
rnacentral:rRNA from 1 species